AUUGAACGCUGGCGGCAUGCCUAACACAUGCAAGUCGAGCGGAGGAAGGGAGCUUGUUCCUGGAUUCAGCGGCGGACGGGUGAGUAAUGCCUAGGAAUCGGCCUUGUAGUGGGGGAUAACGUCCGGAAACGGGCGCUAAUAUCGUAUACGUUCUGAGGGUGAAAGUGGGGGAUCUUCGGACCUCACGCUAUCAGAUGAGCCUAGGUCGGAUUAGCUAGUUGGUGGGGUAAAGGCCUACCAAGGCGACGAUCCGUAACUGGUCUGAUAGGAUGACCGGCCACACUGGAACUGAGAAACGGUCAAACUUCCUACGGGAGGCAGAAGUGGGGAAUAUUGGACAAUGGGCGAAAGCCUGAUGAAGCAAUGCCGCGUGGGUGAAGAAGGUCUUCGGAUUGUAAAGCACGUUAAGUUGGGAGGAAGGGCAGUAAGUUAAUACCUUGAUGUUUUGACGGUAACAACAGAGUAAGCAACGGCUAACUUCGUG
rnacentral:rRNA from 1 species